rnacentral:sRNA from 1 species
GUAGGGUACAGUGGUGCAUACCUGUAAUCCCAGUGACUUGGGAGGCUGAGGCAGGAGGAUUGAGAGUUCAAAGCCAGCAGUGAGACCCUGUCUCUA